rnacentral:rRNA from 1 species
GAUGAAUGCUGGCGGCGUGCCUAAUACAUGCAAGUCGAGCGAACAGACGAGGAGCUUGCUCCUUUGACGUUAGCGGCGGACGGGUGAGUAACACGUAGGUAACCUACCUAUAAGACUGGGAUAACUUCGGGAAACCGGAGCUAAUACCGGAUAAUAUUUCGAACCGCAUGGUUCGAUAGUGAAAGAUGGCUUUGCUAUCACUUAUAGAUGGACCUGCGCCGUAUUAGCUAGUUGGUAAGGUAACGGCUUACCAAGGCAACGAUACGUAGCCGACCUGAGAGGGUGAUCGGCCACACUGGAACUGAGACACGGUCCAGACUCCUACGGGAGGCAGCAGUAGGGAAUCUUCCGCAAUGGGCGAAAGCCUGACGGAGCAACGCCGCGUGAGUGAUGAAGGUCUUCGGAUCGUAAAACUCUGUUAUUAGGGAAGAACAAACGUGUAAGUAACUGUGCACGUCUUGACGGUACCUAAUCAGAAAGCCACGGCUAACUACGUG